GCUCCCGUGGUCCAAUCUGGAAAGGUUAUUUGCAGAAGCAAAUAAUUCCGGUAAAGACGCUGGUUUGCGGAACCCGUAAUCCGAGUUCAAAUCUCGGCGGGAGCG
rnacentral:tRNA from 1 species